rnacentral:rRNA from 1 species
UCGCAAAUCGACCGCGACCC